GACGAACGCUGGCGGCGUGCUUAACACAUGCAAGUCGAACGGAAAGGCCCUUCGGGGUACUCGAGUGGCGAACGGGUGAGUAACACGUGGGUGAUCUGCCCUGCACUUUGGGAUAAGCCUGGGAAACUGGGUCUAAUACCGAAUAUGACCGCGCACUUCCUGGUGUGUGGUGGAAAGCUUUUGCGGUGUGGGAUGGGCCCGCGGCCUAUCAGCUUGUUGGUGGGGUAAUGGCCUACCAAGGCGACGACGGGUAGCCGGCCUGAGAGGGUGACCGGCCACACUGGGACUGAGAUACGGCCCAGACUCCUACGGGAGGCAGCAGUGGGGAAUAUUGCACAAUGGGCGCAAGCCUGAUGCAGCGACGCCGCGUGAGGGAUGACGGCCUUCGGGUUGUAAACCUCUUUCAAUAGGGACGAAGCGCAAGUGACGGUACCUAUAGAAGAAGGACCGGCCAACUACGUGC
rnacentral:rRNA from 1 species